GAUGAACGCUAGCUACAGGCUUAACACAUGCAAGUCGAGGGGAAACGGCAUUGAGUGCUUGCACUCUUUGGACGUCGACCGGCGCACGGGUGAGUAACGCGUAUCCAACCUUCCCAUUACUGUGGGAUAACCUGCCGAAAGGCAGACUAAUACCGCAUAGUCUUCGAUGACGGCAUCAGAUUUGAAGUAAAGAUUUAUCGGUAAUGGAUGGGGAUGCGUCUGAUUAGCUUGUUGGCGGGGUAACGGCCCACCAAGGCAACGAUCAGUAGGGGUUCUGAGAGGAAGGUCCCCCACAUUGGAACUGAGACACGGUCCAAACUCCUACGGGAGGCAGCAGUGAGGAAUAUUGGUCAAUGGACGGAAGUCUGGACCAGCCAAGUAGCGUGCAGGAUGACGGCCCUAUGGGUUGUAAACUGCUUUUGUAUGGGGAUAAAGUUAGGGACGUGUCCCUAUUUGCAGGUACCAUACGAAUAAGGACCGGCUAAUUCCGUGCCAGCAGCCGCGGUAAUACGGAAGGUCCAGGCGUUAUCCGGAUUUAUUGGGUUUAAAGGGAGCGUAGGCUGGAGAUUAAGUGUGUUGUGAAAUGUAGACGCUCAACGUCUGAAUUGCAGCGCAUACUGGUUUCCUUGAGUACGCACAACGUUGGCGGAAUUCGUCGUGUAGCGGUGAAAUGCUUAGAUAUGACGAAGAACUCCGAUUGCGAAGGCAGCUGACGGGAGCGCAACUGACGCUUAAGCUCGAAGGUGCGGGUAUCAAACAGG
rnacentral:rRNA from 1 species